AUUGAACGCUGGCGGCAGGCAUAACACAUGCAAGUCGAACGAGUGGCGGACGGGUGAGUAAUGUCUGGGAAACUGCCUGAUGGAGGGGGAUAAAUACUGGAAACGGUAGCUAAUACCGCAUACCAUCAGCUGAGCCCAGAUGGGAUUAGCUGGUUGGGGGGGUAACGGCUAACCAAGGCGACGAUCCCUAGCUGGUCUGAGAGGAUGACCGGCCACACGGGAACUGAGACACGGUCCAGACUCCUACGGGAGGCACCAGUGGGUAAUAGUGCACAAGGGGCGAAAGCCUGAUGCACCCAGGCGGGGUGGAUGAAGAAGGCCUUCGGGUUGUAAAGUACUUUCAUCGGGGAGGCGUUACCCGCAGAGGAAGCACCGGCUAACUCCGUGCCAGCAGCCGCGGUAAUAC
rnacentral:rRNA from 1 species